AUGAUAUAAGUGAGCCACAAGGAGAUUAUGUAAUUUGUCCAGAGUCAUACAGCUGAGCCAGGAUGCAAACCCAUGUGGUCAGGCUACAGGAACAGCCAGGCUGCACCACAUUAUAAAUUCUCCAGUUGCUGUGUCUGAAAACCUUGUGCAGCGAGAUGGCGACUUCCUAGUUCGUGACUCUCUGUCCAGCCCUGGGAACUUUGUCCUGACCUGUCAGUGGAAGAACCUUGCUCAGCACUUCAAAAUCAACCGGACAGUUCUGCGACUCAGCGAGGCCUACAGCCGCGUGCAGUACCAGUUCGAGAUGGAGAGCUUCGACUCUAUCCCCGGCCUGGUGCGCUGCUACGUGGGCAACCGCCGGCCCAUCUCCCAGCAGAGUGGCGCCAUCAUCUUCCAGCCCAUCAACAGGACGGUGCCCCUGCGGUGCCUGGAGGAGCGUUAUGGCACCUCCCCAGGCCAGGCCCGGG
rnacentral:sRNA from 1 species